ACAGUGUGGGAGGGCAUAGUCCACUGUGGUGGGAGGGCCUGUUGGAGGACUAGAAGGCUUUGUGCUCCAUUCAGGAAACAGGAAGAAAUAAGAAAUAAAUUCUGGAACUCAGCUGGGCCUUUCCUUUCCCUCUUUCAUCCAGCCACCUCUUAGGAAUGAGCCACCACCAUCGGGAUUCCACAGCUCUCGUCUUGGUGGGAGAGUAUAAUGGUGAGAGAGGGUCAUGAAUCCAAGGACUGGCGUAAGAACAUCAUGGGAAGGCAGAGGAAGAAAUGAGUCCAGUAGCUACACAGCCAAGAGCCACAAGGAUUCCAGCAAUCACCAGAGUCAGGGAGAGUCAAGGAAGAAAACAUCAAAGCCUCAAAAGCGAGCUCCACCCUUCUGCAACCUUGAUGGAUGAGCUGGGAUAUCGAGCAAAAGAGUAGGAGGUAAUUCCAAGAUUUUCAGCCUCUUAAGAGAACCUCGCUGAGCAAUCACACAAGAAGCCAUCUGACUAGGAUAUUUGGAUAGCAGGUGUCUGCCCAUCCCCAUGUGCCCUGGAGAAGAGCAGAGCAGGAAAUUUAUAUGAGCAUAGGGAGGGCCAUGAGCAGCAGAGAAUGAGGUGACUCAGUUGUCUUCAUUGGACACUGAUUAUGGGGAACAGGGAGGAGGGCAGUAUAGAGUGGUCCUCCACUGUCCAGACUACUACUUGGUUCUUUAAUAAAUUUCUUUUUAAAAAGCA